UUCAAAUGUUUCCGCACGUCAGUGAGUAGCAGCGUCGCAAUCCUUUGUCGACGACGUGUUCUGUGGCCCUGGAAAAUGCCUUGACGCUCGGGGACGGCCGGUAGCUCGGCGAUUCCUCGCUUGGCGCACCAUUGAAAACCGGCGGUCAUGCAGCAGUGUACGCUGCCAGCGUAUUUUUUAUUGCCAGAGGUAGCAAACAGCAGUGCCACAACAAACAGUGGAGUGCUGACCAUGCAGUCCAGAAGGUGGCUGAGGCAACAUCUUCAAAAAGCAGUGCUACAAGGAUGUGAGCAGCAGUUUCCUUCAACGAACGGGUCAAAUUCAUGGAAGCCACGUGCCUGCUGCUUCUGGCCUACACAAACAUGCAGCCACCAUAGUAAAGUUCUU